UGAAUUUCUCCCUUUAAGGUUCUUGGAGGCCAAGCUUGAGACCGCUUGAGUGGAGCAACCUGUUAAGUUUUGGUCCUUACCCUGAGCCCCAGGAGUACCCAGGCCAAGGACUUCUCCACUUUUAGAUUCUUAUUCUGAGUUAUCUACUGACCAAUUGAGGACAGAGAGCAGAAAAGAGAGAAGAUGCCUGAGAGUCCCCUUGUACUGAGAAGCUUAAAGAGAGGGGAAUGAUGAAGUCUCACGCUCUGAGGCAGUUGAGCCACCACUGAGCCACACCCCCAGGUACCAAGGUUCCUUCCAGAUACUGUACCCUGGGCAGGCUGGGAUAAGCCUCGUUGACCUGGUGUGGGGCAUCUCUGUUCCAAUGCUUGCCUCCCAUGUGCCAAGCCCCGAGUUCAAUCCGAGCGACUACAGAACAAAGCUGAAGUAGGACCUGGAGCCGGUAGUGUGGCUCACUUGGAAGAAUGCUUGCCCAGCGCCUCGUAAACCAGGCCCACACCUGUGGUCCCAGCACCUGGGAGAUGGAGAUGAGAUCAAGGUCAUUUUCAGCUACAGAUGAUUUUGAGUCCUGAUCCAGCAUGGGCUACCUGAGCUUCUGUGUCAAAGAGAAACAAAGAAACAAAAACUGAGGGCUCUCUUCACUCCUGGCCCCAGUGCUGGUGCUGGCUGAAGGUUCCAAGCGUCCCCACAUCUGUGUCCUCAUGGCACCUACCUGGCUCUGGAAUUUCUCAAACCUGCCAUUCUGCCUCCAGGAGAAUGUAAAAGUGUGGGUCUCACUGGUGACCUCAGAGGACCUGAGAAGGGGGAAGAGAAAGGGAGACAUAAACAGGGCUGUGAAGAGCAGGGCUUUUUCCAGACCUGACCCAGGGUGGGUCUUGUGCCUGCUGUGGUGGCUCUUGUACCCUCUGCUUAGCUUAUUUGGUGAAGGAUCAAUGCAUGUGACCAAACUCUCCAGGCUGUCCCCAUCCUCCUGACAAGUGACUCUUGGCCCCGGGGAAGCUGAACCAAAGCCAGCACUCCGUUUAGAAGACAGCUGUCCUGGCUGAUGUGCUGCCGAGCAUUCUGAAGGUCCCCGAGAUGGCCUGCUGAUGAGUCAGGAGCUGUUAGUGGUCACUCUAACUGUGUAGAAAGCUGGAGAAAAUCUGAGGCACAGAGGCAGACUGGCUGAAGAGAAGACAGGAAUUGGUAGCAGGCCAUACCCAGCGUCUUUAGCAGACUUCAGUCUGCCUCAAGUCUGGAAGUGCUGUGAAGACCCUCCGUGGGAUGGGGGUGCAGUGCUUCAGGGAGGGGCAGGGGGAGGAGAGGGUUGGGGGAAGAAGCAAAAUCUGAUUGACAAGUGGCCAAUGAGACCUCUGCUGGAGGAAGAUUUCUCGGGGUCACACUUCUCAGAUUGGUCAGAUUUGUAGCAGGGCCUUGGGGACAGGAUGGGAGGGAAGGGUGAUCCUUCCCUUUAGCCUGACUUUUGUUUUGAGACAAGAGUCUAGUCAAAUAAUUCUGCCUGGCCUCAAAGUCGCUAUAUGGACCAGUUUCCCUCAAACUUGCCUGCCUUCCUCAGCUUCCAGACUUCUGGGAAUAAAAGGUGUGUGCC
rnacentral:lncRNA from 1 species